rnacentral:rRNA from 1 species
CCUACGGGAGGCAGCAGUGAGGAAUAUUGGUCAAUGGGCGCGAGCCUGAACCAGCCAAGUAGCGUGAAGGAUGACUGCCCUACGGGUUGUAAACUUCUUUUAUAAAGGAAUAAAGUGAGGCACGUGUGCCUUUUUGUAUGUACUUUAUGAAUAAGGAUCGGCUAACUCCGUGCCAGCAGCCGCGGUAAUACGGAGGAUCCGAGCGUUAUCCGGAUUUAUUGGGUUUAAAGGGUGCGUAGGCGGCCUUUUAAGUCAGCGGUGAAAGUCUGUGGCUCAACCAUAGAAUUGCCGUUGAAACUGGGGGGCUUGAGUAUGUUUGAGGCAGGCGGAAUGCGUGGUGUAGCGGUGAAAUGCUUAGAUAUCACGCAGAACCCCGAUUGCGAAGGCAGCCUGCCAAGCCAUGACUGACGCUGAUGCUCGAAAGUGUGGGUAUCAAACAGGAUUAGAUACCCUUGUAGUC